rnacentral:rRNA from 1 species
GUAGGGAAUCUUCCGCAAUGGACGAAAGUCUGACGGAGCAACGCCGCGUGAGUGAUGAAGGUUUUCGGAUCGUAAAACUCUGUUGUUAGGGAAGAACAAGUCGGGUAGUAACUGACCCGGCCUUGACGGUACCUAACCAGAAAGCCCCGGCUAACUACGUGCCAGCAGCCGCGGUAAUACGUAGGGGGCAAGCGUUGUCCGGAAUUAUUGGGCGUAAAGCGCUCGCAGGCGGUCCUUUAAGUCUGAUGUGAAAUCUCGCGGCUCAACCGCGAACGGUCAUUGGAAACUGGAGGACUUGAGUACAGAAGAGGAGAGUGGAAUUCCACGUGUAGCGGUGAAAUGCGUAGAGAUGUGGAGGAACACCAGUGGCGAAGGCGACUCUCUGGUCUGUAACUGACGCUGAGGAGCGAAAGCGUGGGGAGCGAACAGGAUUAGAUACCCUGGUAGUCCACGCCGUAAACGAUGAGUGCUAGGUGUUAGGGGGUUUCCGCCCCUUAGUGCUGAAGUUAACGCAUUAAGCACUCCGCCUGGGGAGUACGGCCGCAAGGCUGAAACUCAAAAGAAUUGACGGGGGCCCGCACAAGCGGUGGAGCAUGUGGUUUAAUUCGAAGCAACGCGAAGAACCUUACCAGGUCUUGACAUCCUCUGCUAUUCCUAGAGAUAGGAAGUUCCCUUCGGGGACAGAGUGACAGGUGGUGCAUGGUUGUCGUCAGCUCGUGUCGUGAGAUGUUGGGUUAAGUCCCGCAACGAGCGCAACCCUUGAUCUUAGUUGCCAGCAUUAAGUUGGGCACUCUAAGGUGACUGCCGGUGACAAACCGGAGGAAGGUGGGGAUGACGUCAAAUCAUCAUGCCCCUUAUGACCUGGGCUACACACGUGCUACAAUGGAUGGAACAAAGGGAAGCGAAACCGCGAGGUCAAGCAAAUCCCAUAAAACCAUUCUCAGUUCGGAUUGCAGGCUGCAACUCGCCUGCAUGAAGCCGGAAUCGCUAGUAAUCGCGGAUCAGCAU